rnacentral:rRNA from 1 species
GAUGAACGCUAGCGGAAGGCUUAAUACAUGCAAGUCGAGCGGUAGAUGGCUUCGGCCAUUGAGAGCGGCGCACGGGUGAGUAACGCGUACAUGACCUGCCUGUCAGAAGGGAAUAGCCCUGGGAAACUGGGAUUAAUACCCUAUGGUAUUGAUAUUAUGAAUGAUAUCAAUUAAAGUUGAGGCGCUGACAGAUGGAUGUGCGUCUGAUUAGCUAGUUGGUAGGGUAACGGCCUACCAAGGCGACGAUCAGUAGGGGGCGUGAGAGCGUGGUCCCCCACACGGGUACUGAGACACGGACCCGACUCCUACGGGAGGCAGCAGUAAGGAAUAUUGGUCAAUGCCCGCAAGGGUGAACCAGCCAUUCCGCGUGGAGGAUGAAGGCCCUAUGGGUUGUAAACUUCUUUUAGAUGGGAAGAAAAUGCUAGAUGUAUCUGGUACUGACGGUACCAUCAGAAUAAGCACCGGCUAACUCCGUG